GACGAACCGAGCGAACGUUGUUCGGAAUCACUGGGCUUAAAGGGCGCGUAGGCGGGCUGCCAAGUCUGUGGUGAAAUCCUCCAGCUUAACUGGAGAACGGCCGUGGAUACUGGCGGUCUCGAGGAAGGUAGGGGCGUGCGGAACUGUGCGUGGAGCGGUGAAAUGCGUUGAUAUGCACAGGAACUCCGGUGGCGAAGGCGGCACGCUGGACCUUUUCUGACGCUGAGGCGCGAAAGCCAGGGGAGCGAACGGGAUUAGAUACCCCGGUAGUCCUGGCCCUAAACGUUGAGAACUAGGUAGUAGACUUGACUUGGGUUUACUGCCGAAGCAAAAGUGCUAAGUUCUCCGCCUGGGGAGUAUGGCCGCAAGGCUGAAACUCAAAGAAAUUGACGGGGGCUCACACAAGCGGUGGAGCAUGUGGCUUAAUUCGAGGCUACGCGAAGAACCUUAUCCUGGACUUGACAUGUUCGAAAGAGAUAGCAGGUAGAACCCGGAAACGGGGACGAACGGUAUCCAAUCCGGAAGCUAUCACAGGUGCUGCAUGGCUGUCGUCAGCUCGUGUCGUGAGAUGUCGGGUUAAGUCCCUUAACGAGCGAAACCCUUACCAUUAGUUGCCAGCGGGUCAUGCCGGGGACUCUAGUGGGACUGCCGGUGUCAAACCGGAGGAAGGUGGGGAUGACGUCAAGUCCUCAUGGCCUUUAUGUUCAGGGCUGCACACGUGCUACAAUGGCGUGAACAAAGGGAAGCAAAGUUGCGAAACUGAGCCAAUCCCAAAAAACACGCCCCAGUUCAGAUCGAAGGCUGCAACUCGCCUUCGUGAAGUUGGAAUCGCUAGUAAUCGCGGGUCAGCAACACCGCGGUGAAUGUGUUCCUGAGCCU
rnacentral:rRNA from 1 species